UGCGAGUCAUUGUAGCAAUACAAGGCAGACGGCUCAGUAACGCGUAGUCAAUCUACCCUAUGGACGGGAAUAACCUCGGGAAACUGAGAAUAAUGCCCGACAGAACAUUAUACCUGGAACGGUUUAUGUUUCAAAUGAUUUAUCGCCGUAGGAUGGGACUGCGGCCUAUCAGUUUGCUGGUGAGGUAAUGGCCCACCAAGACUAUUACAGGUACGGGCUCUGAGAGGAGUAGCCCGGAGAUGGGUACUGAGACACGGACCCAGGCCCUAUGGGGCGCAGCAGGCGAGAAAACUUUGCAAUGUGCGAAAGCACGACAAGGUUAAUCCGAGUGGUUUCUGCUAAAGAAACCUUUUGCUAGUCCUAGAAACACUAGUGAAUAAGGGGUGGGCAAGUUCUGGUGUCAGCCGCCGCGGUAAAACCAGCACCUCAAGUGGUCAGGAUGAUUAUUGGGCCUAAAGCAUCCGUAGCUCGUUUUGUAAGUUUUCGGUUAAAUCCAUACGCUUAACGUAUGGGCUGCCGGGAAUACUGCAUAACUAGGAAGUGGGAGAGGUAGACGGUACUCGGUAGGAAGGGGUAAAAUCCUUUGAUCUAUUGAUGACCACCUGUGGCGAAGGCGGUCUACCAGAACACGUUCGACGGUGAGGGAUGAAAGCUGGGGGAGCAAACCGGAUUAGAUACCCGGGUAGUCCCAGCUGUAAACUAUGCAAACUCAGUGAUGCAUUGGCUUGUGGCCAAUGCAGUGCUGCAGGGAAGCCGUUAAGUUUGCCGCCUGGGAAGUACGUACGCAAGUAUGAAACUUAAAGGAAUUGGCGGGGGAGCACCACAAGGGGUGAAGCCUGCGGU
rnacentral:rRNA from 1 species